GAUGAAGAACGUAGCAAAAUGCGAUAAGUAAUGUGAAUUGCAGAAUUCAGUGAAUCAUCGAAUCUUUGAACGCACAUUGCGCCCGCCAGUAUUCUGGCGGGCAUGCCUGUUCGAGCGUCAUUUCAACUCUCAAGCACAGCUUGGUGUUGGGACUCGCGUUAAUUCGCGUUCCCCAAAUUGAUUGGCGGUCACGUCGAGCUUCCAUAGCGUAGUAGUAAAACCCUCGUUACUGGUAAUCGUCGCGGCCACGCCGUUAAACCCCAACUUCUGAAUGUUGACCUCGGAUCAGGUAGGAAUACCCGCUGAACUUAAGCAUAUCAAUAAGCGGAGGA
rnacentral:misc_RNA from 1 species